rnacentral:rRNA from 1 species
CCUACGGGGUGCUGCAGUGAGGAAUAUUGGUCAAUGGACGAGAGUCUGAACCAGCCAAGUAGCGUGAAGGAUGACUGCCCUAUGGGUUGUAAACUUCUUUUAUAAAGGAAUAAAACGAGGCACGUGUGCCUUUUUGCAUGUACUUUAUGAAUAAGGAUCGGCUAACUCCGUGCCAGCAGCCGCGGUAAUACGGAGGAUCCGAGCGUUAUCCGGAUUUAUUGGGUUUAAAGGGAGCGUAGAUGGGUUGUUAAGUCAGUUGUGAAAGUUUGCGGCUCAACCGUAAAAUUGCAAUUGAUACUGGCAGUCGUGAGUACAGUUGAGGUAGGCGGAAUUCGUGGUGUAGCGGUGAAAUGCUUAGAUAUCACGAAGAACCCCGAUUGCGAAGGCAGCUUACUAAACUGUGACUGACAUUGAUGCUCGAAAGUGUGGGUAUCAAACAGGAUUAGAUACCCGGGUAGUC